UAUAUAUAUAUAUAUAUAUAACAGAGCUAAUUACUUCAGUCUGCAAGGAUACAUGCACAAAGCGAUAGGGUAGGAUCCAACAAAAUUUCCAAGAACCUUACAACAGGAUGAAGAGACCUUAAGAAAUAUAAACAUGUUGGAUAGCUUCCCCUAAAGAUUACUCACACACAAAAAAGGCUUUCACUUCUCAAAGUAUAAGAA
rnacentral:misc_RNA from 1 species